rnacentral:lncRNA from 1 species
GCCAUAAACCCGUGGAGAUGCUAGGGGAUCCUGCUAUGGCCCAGGUGGGAGGAGCCUGGGGCUCGUGCUGUGGCCCAGGUGGGAGGAGCCUGAGGCUCCUGUUAUAGCCAAAGUGGGCGAAGCCUGGGGCUUCCGGGAUUACGGCAGAUUUCAGAGCUAAGAAGGCUAAGAAGAGGAAGUCUUCCUGGGAGGAUGUUACAAUGUCCCUGCCAUGUGAGCUCUCUGAAUUGAAAACGGCAGAAUAUAUGUUCAUGCCAGAAUUUCUCACAACCUGGAGACACUGCGGUUUCUUCCGUGAUCAAGUGUGACACAGACAAGAUAUAAGAAGAAAAACAAAUCACCCCCAAGCAAACAAACAAAGAGAUGUAUGAAGACGGAAGGUAUGGCAUUGCCUGCCAAAGGAAGCUCCGAGGUGGGUCCUUUCCCCAUGCCUGACCUGUUGCCUUGUUGCCUCUGGGAAGGAGAGAUGGAGGUGGGCUUGGUGUGCAAAGAGCAGGUGUGCACAGUCCUGGAGCAGAUGGAAGCCAUCUGCACAUGGAAGAGCUCCCCAGGUUCAAGGUGACAGUUUCUCUCCGCUCGUCUUUCGGCACAAUCUAGCUCUGCAUUUUGGAGUUAGACAUUGAGAAUCCGGAUGUUGUUUUGCAGAGGAAGGGACUGACUCUGAGAAGCUAAGCCUAUUCCCCAGUAAGCUCCCUUAUCUACCACAACUAAUCUCAUGGUCUUCCACAGUCUGAAGGGCUGAGAAGAUCAGGCUGGGGCUGGGGAUCUGGCUGAGUUGGUAGAGUACUUGCCUAACAUGCAUGAAGCCCUGGGUUUGAUCUUCAGUACUACAUCAACUGGGCAUGGGAGUACACACCUGUAAUCUACAUUUUUGGAGGCAGAGUCAGGAGGAUCAGAAGUUCAAGGUCAUCCUCAGCUAUAAAUUAAUUUGUCUACUUUAGACCCUGCCACAAACCAAACUGGAGGCUGGAGCUGAGCUCAUCUGGACCCAGUGCUCUUUCUGCCUUCCUGUGGCCCCAGGCAAGUCCCAUGAUCUCUCCGAGCCGCCAUCUCUUCAUUUCUACCAACACCUGCUGCAGCUUCCCAACCCACACAGUGCCUUCCAAUCCAUCAGGGGCAGCUCAGCCUGCACCUCCUAGCAAAUCAUUACAACAGCCUUCUGCAGCUUUGUUAUUGAGACGAGAACAAGAGAAGUAAAUGUUCCUAGUUACUGAAGAAGACAUUGGUAAAAGGAAACCAGGAGGCAGAAAAUUCACAAUCCAUCCUCGGGAGCUUCACCCGAUUCCUGUUUGGAGGAAAAGAAGGAGGAGGCUGGGGAAAGCCCACUACUCACUUAGUAACUACCAAUGAGAUUCAGUACAGGACCAAAAAUAGAAAUCUUCCCAGGAAAGUAGCGUGUUUCACAGCGCCACGCCAAAAAGGAAAGAAAAAAAGAAUUAACAUAGGGAAGCCAUUUAAAGCAGGAAAAAUAUUUGUAUGUAAAAGGAAAUAUUUUAGGCAGGAGUUGAAUGCCAAAUGAUUUUGGGACUCUGUAGGGAGUAAUGAGGCAUAGACACACAAUGCUGUAUGCAUGUGAUAUUAUCUUCGGCCGCCUUGGAAAGCUCUUAAAUCACGAAGAUGCAGUUAGGGACCAUUGUACAAAAUAAACAUCCCACUUGGUGUCCCGCCUGCCCCUAA